AUUGAACGCUGGCGGCAGGCCUAACACAUGCAAGUCGGACGGUAGCACAGAGAGCUUGCUCUUGGGUGACGAGUGGCGGACGGGUGAGUAAUGUCUGGGGAUCUGCCCGAUAGAGGGGGAUAACCACUGGAAACGGUGGCUAAUACCGCAUAGCGUCGCGAGACCAAAGAGGGGGACCUUCGGGCCUCUCACUAUCGGAUGAACCCAGAUGGGAUUAGCUAGUAGGCGGGGUAAUGGCCCACCUAGGCGACGAUCCCUAGCUGGUCUGAGAGGAUGACCAGCCACACUGGAACUGAGACACGGUCCAGACUCCUACGGGAGGCAGCAGUGGGGAAUAUUGCACAAUGGGCGCAAGCCUGAUGCAGCCAUGCCGCGUGUAUGAAGAAGGCCUUCGGGUUGUAAAGUACUUUCAGCGGGGAGGAAGGCGAUGCGGUUAAUAACCGCGUCGAUUGACGUUACCCGCAGAAGAAGCACCGGCUAACUCCGUGCCAGCCGCCGCCGUAA
rnacentral:rRNA from 1 species